rnacentral:rRNA from 1 species
UACGAAGGGGGCUAGCGUUGCUCGGAAUCACUGGGCGUAAAGGGUGCGUAGGCGGGUCUUUUAAGUCAGGGGUGAAAUCCUGGAGCUCAACUCCAGAACUGCCUUUGAUACUGAAGAUCUUGAGUUCGGGAGAGGUGAGUGGAACUGCGAGUGUAGAGGUGAAAUUCGUAGAUAUUCGCAAGAACACCAGUGGCGAAGGCGGCUCACUGGCCCGAUACUGACGCUGGGGUGCGAAAGCAUGGGGAGCGAACAGG